rnacentral:lncRNA from 1 species
ACUGUGGAACCGAAUCACGUUUGCCGUGGACCGUCUGGCCUGUCUGCACCCCUUCCUUUGUGCCAUAAGCGUGCGGUUGACCCGUUUCGCCGAGUUUUCGGGGCUUUUGGAAUAACUCUCGCGGAUUUUGAUUUCUCUGAGUCGUGAAACCGGGAGCCAUGAACGGGUGCGCGGCCGGAGGCCAUCCUGAGGAAGGCCGCGUCGUCCUCUUCCUCGGGUGCCUGCCCGUCCUACUUCCCAAGGUCCAACAGCGGCGGGAUUCUCGUCGCACCACUGCGGGCGGUCUUCUAGCCUAUACGUCACCAGAUCACUUCACUUCCGGCCGCCGCUUGCUCCGGUUUGCGGACCGAACAAUCGCUCGUGUGGUGUGGUUGCCCACGUGGUUGACUGACGUCACGGGAUCGCUUGGGUCCCAUCCGUUCGCUUCGCCAUCUUUUGUCCGGAGUGCGUGAGACGUUAUCGCCACGACUAUCACGUGACUCGGAGCGUCCGGACGAUGUCGCGUGACGAACCAACCGUCGUCGUCGUCAUCGAAUCGCUUCCGUCACCUGGGCGCAUCGUAGUCCGCUGACGUCAUCUGCCAAGCUCGACUGCACCCUCUACCGUGUCGCUAUUCCUCCUCAUCCACUGUGCGUGUAACGGCUUCCUUGCGGUGCCCACGUGACCGUCGACGUCACAACAUCGUCGUUGUUGCGUCACGAAUCAAGCCCACUCUUUGCUUGUUGUGUGGAGUCCGUAGUGUCCUUAACAUCGAUUUGUAGUAGUCCGCGUCAACUUUAGGGCUUUUCCGCCUUACGCCGGAAAUUCCCACUGAAGUAACUGCUCAAAUCGACGCUGCCCACUGUGUCGCUCCCACACUUGCUGUUCUGUCCGUUGACGUCACGUGUGACGUCUCUUAAAGAGAGAAUCGUCAUCACCCAAUGACCAGCCCUUUCAUUGUGCUCUCAUCGCCAUAUAGGCAGUUGUGACUUUCACUGGCAAUAGCGGGAAAAGGCUCUUUUUCCUUAAUCGAAUAGCAUUAUCCUGUAACUGUAACGCAAAAGAGUAAGGCACUGUAUAACCGUACCUCCCUUUCCUGGUUUGAAGAUAGCAACAUCCUCAAACAUUAUCCUCGCACUGUCUUAAACUUACCGUUGCGUCAUCAGAUUUUUAAACCCGUAAUCGUGAUGUAUAACUGUAUCCCGCGUACAUUUGUGAGCAAGGCAUCGUGAAACUGUUAGCACAUUGACGUGUACGUCACUGGUACGCUAGUUUACUGUACGUAUACUAGCAACGGAGCACACAUUUCAAGCGGGUUUCUCACUAGUGAGUGUCAGUUUUCUCAGAUUUAAAGCAAGCGUAAUAAGACGUAGUAUAUUUCUUUAUAUUUCAUUUAUAUGUUCACAACAACACGUUUGUCCGUCUUGUAAAACAUUUGCACCUCUGUCUUCUACUGGAACGAUCGCCGUGUAUCAGGCGUCUGCGUCGUUGUUCGUUUGCGACCUUCAACUGACCUCGGCCGACAUUGAACUGACCUUGGUUGUGGCAAGCGUCUGUGGGAACGCGUGGCGAAACGCUGCACCGUUUUUCUUUUCUUAAAAAAA